GUCCCAUAUGCUCAUGAGGCUGAGGCAGGAGGAUCACUUGAGCUCAAGAGUUUGAGGUGUCAGUGGGCUAUGAUUGUACUAUUGCACUCCAACCUGGGUGAUAGAGACUGAUUCUGUCUGAAAGAAAAGAAAGAGAAAGAAGGAAAGUAAAAGGAAGGACGGAAGGAAGGAAGGAAGCAAAGAAGGAAAAGGAAACGAGAAAAGAAAAAGAUGAGUGAAUAUUAUUGAGGACUAAGUCAUUUCAAAUUACCAAAAUUGAUGCAUAUUUACAUUUAACCUGGCUCCAGGGAAUAUUAUUUAUGACUAAAUCAUAUCAAGUCACUGUUAACAGUGCAUGCUCAUACUAAAUAUAGCAUUUGACGGUGGUAAACACACACAGACACACACACACAACCUAUAGAAUUAAUCACCUCAUCUAGCACAGAGGCAUUGACACAUAAAAAAUAAAGACCAUAGGUGUCUUAGUUCAUUCAGGAUUCUUUAACAAAAUACCAUAAGCUUGGUACCUUAUAAAUAACAGAAAAUUACUUCUCACAGUUUCUAGAGGCUGGGAAGUUCAAGAUCAAACUGGACUUGAUGUCCAAUGAGGACCAAUCUUCUUGCUGUAACCUAACAUGGUGGAAGGGGCUAGCUAGCUCUCUGCAGUUGGUGAAUAGUGUCCCCCCCUUUUUUUUUAAUAAGGGCACUUAUCCCCUUAUGGGGGCUCCGUCUUCAUUAUCUAGUCACCUCCUAAAGACCCCAUCUCCUGACACCAUCAGCUUGAAUGUUAGUAUUCAACACAUGGAAUUUCAGGGACACAAACAUUUAUACCUUAGCAACAGGAAUAAAAAUAAGCAAAUAUAUAUAUUUUUUACUAUGUGCUAAGCAAUGUUCUAAGUACUUUACAAAUAUCAACUUAUUUAAUCCAUUCAAUAAUCUAAUGAAAUACAUAUUGUGAUUUUUUUUUCAUCCUCACUUUACAGAUAACGCUUUUAACAUUAGAGGAAUGGAGAAUUUUGCCUAUGGUUGGACAGGUAGUAACUAGUAGAGGUAGGAUUUAUCUCCAGAGCUCAUGAUUUUAGCCACUUUGCUACAGAUGGAUGGGGUAAGGGUAGGAGCAUUUGAGGAGCAGUUUGCAUUUUUUGUCUUAUUUUUUUCUUUUACUGCUUUGGGUAGAAAGGAUUAGUCAUAAAGAAUAUACUGUAAGCUGUGUGUGGUGGCAUGCACAUUUAGUCAUAGCUACUCAGGAGGCCGGAAGAUCGCUUGAGCCCAGGAGUUAGAGGCUGCAGUGAGCUAUGAGUGCACCAGCCUGGGUGACAGGGCAAGACUCUGUCUCUAGAAGAAAAAAAAAGUUGAGGCUGCAGAAUAUACGGUGGCAGGAUGCUUUUGUACAAUUCACACAUGCUUUCCACAUUGUUCUGGAACAUCUGAGAAAGACACAUCAUUGAAACAACUUCCAUCCAUUGCAUGGGUAGAAAUUACUCUGGCUGCUAUGAAGAGAAAGAAUAUUCACUGAAAAUAUUUUGGAUGUCACUGGAUGCCCCUGUUGGAUGCUGCCCUGUGGAAGGAGCACUGUGUUUCAAAGCUGGGUGUAGUUGUAGAUGGUAAUUAAAGGCACAAAAGAGAUAAAGCUCUGAAGGACAAAUGAAUUGAAGAAGAUGCAGUGAUUAUGACAAAAGUACUGGAUGCCCAAUUCUAUGCUUCAACAAGUUCACAAUUCUACUUCUCAAGAUGAUAAUAGAGGGCAAUUUAAUUAAAAGAUAAUGGAAUAAGAAUGCUCCGGUAUCUUUAUAUGCCUUAAGAGCAUACAUUUUCCCCACAUAAAAGUCAACCCA
ensembl:lncRNA novel transcript, sense intronic to KCNIP4